UACGUAGGGGGCAAGCGUUGUCCGGAAUCAUUGGGCGUAAAGCGCGCGUAGGCGGACCUGCAAGUCGGGGGUGAAAGCCCGAGGCUCAACCUCGGAACUGCCUUCGAUACUGCGGGUCUCGAGUCCGGGAGAGGUGAGUGGAACUGCGAGUGUAGAGGUGAAAUUCGUAGAUAUUCGCAAGAACACCAGUGGCGAAGGCGGCUCACUGGCCCGAUACUGACGCUGAGGCACGAAAGCGUGGGGAGCAAACAGGG
rnacentral:rRNA from 1 species